CAGGUAUUUGUAAGUGCUCCAACAGACAAUUUUAACAACCAAGCAAAAGAUCCCAGGUACAUGAUGAUUGCAAUCUCCCGACGGUCCAAGCUGAUCCAGACCUUCUGGCUGUUCUGGGCCUUCAACCACAGGGGCAUCCACAACUGUAUCCUAGGCCCUACCCUUCUG